rnacentral:rRNA from 42 species
UCUCGGCAACGGAUAUCUCGGCUCACGCAUCGAUGAAGAACGUAGCAAAAUGCGAUACUUGGUGUGAAUUGCAGAAUCCCGUGAACCAUCGAGUUUUUGAACGCAAGUUGCGCCCGAAGCCAUUCGGCCGAGGGCACGUCUGCCUGGGCGUCACGCAUCGC